rnacentral:lncRNA from 1 species
CGGGAAAGAGUUGGAUUACAUUUAAGGAAAUAAUAUUGUUAUUAUGUCGCAUAUGUAAUAACAGAUAUAGACUAAAGUAAACAUAAUAACACAUGAUAUAAAAAUGCGAACAUUGCAAGGCUGUUACACUUAUUGAUAAGACAUGAAGGGAGAUAAAAAUGAAUAAGAAAGAAAAAACGAAAAAAAAUAAGAAAGAAGGAAAAUAUUUUUUUUGGACAAAAUUGUCAUAUGAAUUAUACAUAACUAAUUAGAUAAGGAGAGAAUAAAAAUGAAAGCAGUGCCACUAAGUAAAUUUUUUAUGGAGAAGUCAUAUAUAGCGGAAGUAUCUACAUUUAACACAGAAGUCUUACACCUGGGAGAAAUAUGCCUUUGACCCCAGCAGUCAUGCAGUUAUACACCUGGAAAGAAUCCGGCUAUUCAUUCACGAAAUUCACAAAAGUGCGAGAAAUCUACUUCUUGCACAAAAGUUAUUUAUCUGUGAGGAGUGUCGUGAACCACACAUUUUCGGCGACCUAUCGUGCAAUCCUAUAACAUCUGUGCUUCGAAAGAGGUAGUAAACUUAACCGACAUUAUUUUUUUUCUGACGCUCGCGUCAGAGAUCCGUAACAGCAUAUAAACAUCUCUGAGGCUAAAAUCUUUUAGCUACGAAAGAGGAAUCAAAUCCUUUUCUGUUUUCGAUGGAAAUAAAACAGUCAAGAAAAGCGACACUACUAUGAGCCAAAAUGGAAACAUGACUGUCCGAAUUUGACUUUAGAGGAUGUAACAUUUUCUUAGAUUGUUAUACCUUUACGUGCUAUACAGGCUUACUUAUUUAGUAUAUGUCACUAAAAUAGUAUGAUAUUGCAGUAAUUUCUUUUAUUUUUAUUCCCUUCCUUUCUUUCAGUCAUUUAGUGUAUAACACCAUCUGUUAUUUUCAUUUGUAAAAAAAAUGUAAAUAUU